GGAUCCAGACUUUGAUUAUGGCUCAGGACGAACGCUGGCGGCGUGCCUAACACAUGCAAGUCGAACGGAACUUCUUUAAAGGAUUUCUUCGGAAUGAAUUUGAUUAAGUUUAGUGGCGGACGGGUGAGUAACGCGUGAGUAACCUGCCUCUAAGAGGGGAAUAACAUUCUGAAAAGAAUGCUAAUACCGCAUAAUAUAUAUUUAUCGCAUGGUAGAUAUAUCAAAGAUUUAUCGCUUAGAGAUGGACUCGCGUCCGAUUAGUUAGUUGGUGAGGUAACGGCUCACCAAGACCGCGAUCGGUAGCCGGACUGAGAGGUUGAACGGCCACAUUGGGACUGAGACACGGCCCAGACUCCUACGGGAGGCAGCAGUGGGGGAUAUUGCGCAAUGGGGGAAACCCUGACGCAGCAACGCCGCGUGAAGGAUGAAGGUCUUCGGAUUGUAAACUUCUUUUAUUAAGGACGAAGAAAGUGACGGUACUUAAUGAAUAAGCUCCGGCUAACUACGUGCCAGCAGCCGCGGUAAUACGUAGGGAGCAAGCGUUGUCCGGAUUUACUGGGUGUAAAGGGUGCGUAGGCGGCUUUGCAAGUCAGAUGUGAAAUCUAUGGGCUCAACCCAUAGCCUGCAUUUGAAACUGCAGAGCUUGAGUGAAGUAGAGGCAGGCGGAAUUCCCCGUGUAGCGGUGAAAUGCGUAGAGAUGGGGAGGAACACCAGUGGCGAAGGCGGCCUGCUGGGCUUUAACUGACGCUGAGGCACGAAAGCGUGGGUAGCAAACAGGAUUAGAUACCCUGGUAGUCCACGCUGUAAACGAUGAUUACUAGGUGUGGGGGGUCUGACCCCUUCCGUGCCGGAGUUAACACAAUAAGUAAUCCACCUGGGGAGUACGGCCGCAAGGUUGCAACUCAAAUGAAUUGACGG
rnacentral:rRNA from 1 species